UAGCAUAUCAUAGCGGAGGGAAAAGAAAACAACAGGGAUGGCCCCAGUAACGGCGAGUGAAGCGGCAAGAGCUCAAAUUUGAAAUCUGGCCUCCCCCGGGGGCCCGAGUUGUAAUUUGCAGAGGAUGCUUCGGGUGCGGCCGCCGUCUAAGUUCCUUGGAACAGGACGUCAGAGAGGGUGAGAAUCCCGUCUUGGGCGGGCGGUCCGCGCCCGUGUGAAGCUCCUUCGACGAGUCGAGUUGUUUGGGAAUGCAGCUCUAAGCGGGUGGUAAAUUUCAUCUAAAGCUAAAUAUUGGCCGGAGACCGAUAGCGCACAAGUAGAGUGAUCGAAAGGUUAAAAGCACCUUGAAAAGGGAGUUAAACAGCACGUGAAAUUGUUGAAAGGGAAGCGCUUGCGGCCAGACUCGGGGGCGGGGUUCAGCGGGUGCUCGUCGCCCGUGUAUUCCUCGUCUCCCGGGCCAGCAUCAGUUUCGACGGCCGGUCAAAGGCCCCCGGAAUGUGUCGUCUCUCGGGACGUCUUAUAGCCGGGGGUGCAAUGCGGCCCGUCGGGACUGAGGAACGCGCUCCGGCUCGGAUGCUGGCGUAAUGGCCGUAAGCGGCCCGUCUUGAAACACGGACCAAGGAGUCUAACAUCCACGCGAGUGUUCGGGUGUCAAACCCGUGCGCGCAGUGAAAGCGAACGGAGGUGGGAGCCUUAGGGCGCACCAUCGACCGAUCCUGAAGUCUUCGGAUGGAUUUGAGUAGGAGCGUGGCCGUUGGGACCCGAAAGAUGGUGAACUAUGCCUGAAUAGGGUGAAGCCCAGAGGAAACUCUGGUGGAGGCUCGCAGCGGUUUCUGACGUGCAAAUCGAUCGUCAAAUUUGGCAUUAAGGGCGAAAGACUAAUCGAUCAUCUAGUAGCUGGCUCUGCGAG
rnacentral:rRNA from 1 species